rnacentral:rRNA from 1 species
AGUACUGUAGAGGGGGGUAGAAUUUCAGGUGUAGCGGUGAAAUGCGUAGAGAUCUGAAGGAAUACCGGUGGCGAAGGCGGCCCCCUGGACAGAUACUGACACUCAGAUGCGAAAGCGUGGGGAGCAAACAGGAUUAGAUACCCUGGUAGUCCACGCCGUAAACGAUGUCUACUUGGAGGUUGUGGCCUUGAGCCGUGGCUUUCGGAGCUAACGCGUUAAGUAGACCGCCUGGGG